AUUUAUAUAGUUUAAAAAAAAACAUUACAUUUUCACUGUAAAAACAAAGAACUAAUCUUUUAUAGAUU
rnacentral:tRNA from 1 species